AAAUAAACUUGUUAAGCUCACAAGAAUCAUCCUGACCAGGCCCACCUGUGAAUGGUUGCAGGCAAGAAGAAAUUAACACAUCCCUUUCCGGAGUCUGGCUGGAACCAGAACUUUAGCCCCUCCUCUUUCAGUGUAAAAGAAGCCUGAUUCCUAACUCCGGAAACAUGGUUCUUUGGGACACUAGAGCGUCAUCUUCUGGGUCUGCUGGCUUUCCAAAUCAAGUUGCAAUUCCUUGUCCCAACAACUCAUCUCUUGAUUUAUUGGUCCAUUGUGCAGUGACCAGUAUCAGAUCAGACCAGUAUAAGCUUGGACUCAGUAAAAAACUUUAGUAGAGCCAGCCAGGAGACUAACUGCUUGUGGACAGCCAACCCUGGUUAGGGAAUUUUCCAGUAAGGCCCUAGCAGCUGCUGGGACCACUUGUCUUGAGGAUCUGCCCUUCAGAAUUUCCUAAAGCAGCACUGGCUGCCUCAGUACAUGGCAGCUGGAAUAAGGGAUCAGCAUUUGGUAGUCGACGGGCUCAAUGCAAUAGGGUUUGCAAUCCUGUUGGCAAUUUUCUACAACUUUUUAAACUGGGACAGCUUAAUUAGAAUCCUGACUUCUCUCUUCUCCAUCAGCAAUUUGCUCAAGUUUUGAAAAACAUCAUUAAAACAAAGGAUGCAGACAAGGAAGAGGACUGACAAUUAGCAUAAGAACCUUUCUAAAAGGUCAGCAUCCCACAUACCAGGACUUAUUAAGAAGAAUGAAGGAAUAGAGACAAAACUGAAACAGAAGUGGAGCCCCCAGCUCUUCUCUUCUGUGACCUACCCACACACACUGAUAAAGUUAAUUAUCUGCCCUGGCUAAAUGACUUUCCCUAGCAACACCCUAGCAACUAACAUCAGCUCUGCCUUAGGCUACAAAACUGGAAAGAGAUUUCUUGAAGUCCAGUGUAUUUUACAACAGAACGAAACAUCUGAACAGGAAAUUAAACAGAAAGUAAACUGGAUUCAUUGCUAGGAGAUGAGACAUAGACAUACGAGACAGUUUACAACAAUCUACUGAACGCAAUAGUCAAAAUAAGAAACUUUCUUCUCACAAGUUAUACUGAAGUCCGGAGGAGAGACUGCAAGACUUCAUUCCAUGGAGAAGAAGAGAAUUUCAAUGGGCAGAAAAAGGGAAGACAUCCUAGGUGAUGGGAAAGCUAUAAACAAAGUUUGCCAAUUCUGAAAGUGGGGAAUACAGGGGAUCCAGCUGGGGAGCACUGAGAGCUCAGUCUGGAAUCUAUGACCAGAUCAUGGAGGGCCUUGAAGUUCACUUGAAGAACCUGGGCUGCAUCAGAGGGUCCUGGGAGGCUGUUAUUCACAGAACAAAUACUUAUGGAGCCAGGCACCAUGAUGUGCAUGGAGGACACAGUGGUGAGCCCCAGAGACAGUACCAGUCCUUAUGGAUACUGGAAUCUAGUGAUGGAGACAGUGAACAAACACCAAAUGUAAAAGUCAAACAUAAAAGUGACCAUAUGAUUAUAACACAACAUUUCCCUGGUGGCUGCUAAAGAGUCUGCCUGCAAUGUGGGAAACCUAGGUUCGAUCCCUGCAUUGGGAAGAUCCCCUGGAGAAAGGAAGAUAAUUAUAAAUCUUGAGACUAUUAAGAAGAAGAUAUCAAGUUCCAGGAGAGCAUAUAAAGAGGGGCAGGACCUAUUCAGGGAAAUCUGGAAGGACUUCUCUGGGGAAGCAGUUUUGCGCUGAGAUCUGAAGGAUGAGUAGAAGUUGGUUGGGAGAGGACGGUGGGUGGGGGAGACAAAAGCACUGGAUUCUAGGCAGAGAGAACCACACAGACAAAAGUUCAUAAAACUGAAAAGCCAUGGUGGCCAGAGAUCAUGAGAGAAGGGGCGCGUGGCCUUGAGAGGCAGAUCAAGCAGAGCCUCAGAGGCCACAUUAAAGAUUCUUUGUUUUGAGAACCCCAAAAAGCCAGUGGAAAAGGAUUUUAACUGAGGGAUUGACAUUCUAGUCUGCAUUUUAAAAAGGAUCACUCAGACUUCAGUUCAGAAGAUGCACUGGAGGAGAGAAAGAGUAGACAUGGGCAGCCCAGUUAGGAGGCUGAGAGAUGAUGGCAGCUCAGACUGGUGUGGUACCAGAGGAGAUGGCAAAAAAUGGACACAUAUUACAG
ensembl:lncRNA